rfam:Picea glauca, whole genome shotgun sequence.
AUGUACAGGAAUACAACAUAGAUUUAAUGCACCAGAUCCCAUUAGAACUCUGUAGUUAAGCAUGCUCAGGCUAGAGUAGCACUGGGAUGGGUGACCACCCGUGAAGUCAUAGUGUUUUACAUG